rnacentral:hammerhead_ribozyme from 1 species
AUCCUUCUGAUGAGUCCCAAACAAGACAAAACGCACGUCCUGGAU